GUGCGCACGGCGCGCGCCGGGGCUGCAGCCGCGGGCGGGAACGGGGCUUUGCUCACCACCACCCCCCCCCCUUUUCCCGCCCAGCUCCCCGAGCACGGGAGGAGCCCGGCGGGCAGUGGCUGCUUCUUCCCGCCUCGCGCCAUGAGGUAACCGCCGCGGGCACCGGCCGCCGUCCCGGGGCGGCACCGCAGCCGCUGUGGUGGAGAGGAGCCGCGGAGGGCUCCGAGGGCUUGAAUCCGUUUCGCCCUCAAGCCGUGAUGGCAGCUCGUCCCCUGCCUGCCGCUGUCCCCGCUCCGUGUGUCUGUGGGGCGUCUCGGUGCCGUGCCCGUGGCGGUGGCGGUGCCCUCACAGCCCGGGGCUGCUGAGGGGACGGUGACGGGGCGCGGCCGCAAAAGGCAGAGCCGGGGGUGAGGCGGAGGGGGCUCGGCGGUGUUUUGCGGCUGGCUGUGGUUUAAAACGAGGUGACCAACUUGGUGCGGUGCCGCUGCGCUUCCCCGAUCGUCCCCAAAUUGAGAGCGAGGCUUACGUCACGGUUUUGCUGGGCAGCAAAACCUUUCUUUUUUUUUUUUUUAAUAAUAAAAAUUUCCACGCAACAAGAAGCAUUAUUACAGGAGAAGCUGUGAAUACAUGAGAGAGGCCCCGAUAAAAGAAAAAAAAUAAAAGAAUACCUCACCCUUUCCCAAAACACACACACGGAGGAAUCAGAUCUGAGGACUUCUUGGAUGAUUCAGGAAUAAGCAUUGGGAACGUUCGGUGCUUUCCAUGGGAGGAAGACGCAAGCCAGCAAGGCCCUGGUUCCCUGCCAUCUUGAGCCUUUCCUGGUGAUUUGCUGCAGCACAGAUAAGUAUAAAGCACUGAGGGACUGAAGUCACUGUUUAAACCUGACUUCAUUUCAGUGUAAAUGACCACAUGAGACUGAGAUCAGCAGAGAAUCAGGGGUAAAAGAGCAGAGAUGUUUAAGGUGCCUCUUCUAAAAGUAUACUUUCGAGUAUUUAGUGAUUAAUAAGGUUUUUGGAAAAGACUUCUCUCCCCAUGUGUUUAUGUUUACGUGUCCUAACAGAAGGUGACGCGUUAUCUUACAUGCCAGAUAUGCUUUGGAUGAAUCUGUAUCAACUUACUGAUUUCAGGGGAGCUGUAUUAAUACGAGUUAGUGAAGAAACUAACCCAUCUAAGUUUAAAAUAAUUGGAAUAAUAUUCUCCAUCUCUUUCAGUCAGAUUUGUCCUUCAUGUUACUUGUGUUUCAUAAUCCUUUAGCUCUGCAUUUCAUCAGUACAAGACCAGGAUCUCUAUUGUAAAAAAAUGAGCAGGGAAAAAGAAGAAAAAAAAAAAACACCUCAAAAGGCAGUCUUUUUACUUUCCAAUCUUUAUUUUCAUGUUUAAAUAAAUUUAGGGCACAAGCUCAUCCUGUUUUUUUUUAAUGGGCAAAUUUAACGUUGUUCUCUUACACUGAUAUUUUAUAAAGCCAGAAGGUCUCAGAAGGAGAAUGUGUUCAGUGCACCAGAACCCGUUAGGGUUUUGAUAAAAGACACGAUAUCAUGAGUAACAUUUCCACUUCUGUUAUUCUUCUUAUAUAGUACCGACAAGAUUGAAUCACCAUUUUUAGCUAUUCUUCAGCAGAACUCGUAAUCUAUCAAUGUGUCAGCUCAACAGCAGUUUUCUCUUCACACUAAUGUGAACCAGAAGGUCCAGAUAUCACUGAUUUUGACAAUUUUGUUUUAUCUGAGAUUGCAUAUAUUGCAGAACUUUGAAGAAAAUGAAUUAUAGAACCUAUUAUGUUUUCCUAAAGAUGUACAAGACAUAAAACAUGUCCUCUAAAACAUUUUACACUCGUUUGUACAGGAUCACAUUCCUAAGUUAGGUGUUUCAUAAGCAUUAGGCUAUAAGCACUCUAAAAUAACAAGUGUAAGAUCAAAUGUGGGUCCCGUAUCUUUUUAAAUGUCUCACAUUGCCCUCUGUGUUGUUACAUAAUGCAUCAUAAAGAAAUACGUGCCUUCAUUCUCUUUAAAUCGCUCGGGCAUGGAUAGUGCUAAGCCUUCCUUCAAGUCCUUGUUAUGCAAGUCCUUGCUACUGUUAAUAGCUGUCAGCUCUGCGUGCUUACUUAAAAAGCAAGGUAACUGCAGACUUUUUGUGAAGCUCAUUGCAUUUCUGGAGUUCACAAUGAGUCAGUUCCAGGUGCUUUGCUCCCUUCUUCAUCUAUAAAUUAAAUUAUUACUAACAAACAGGUUUUUCCCCAUUAGAAGAAAGUCCCAUUCAUUCCACUGUAUCACAACAUAAUCUGCUUUUUCUUUAGUUUCAUCUAUAAGCAUAUUACAUUAUGAGUAUCUGAAUACACUUCUGCAGUGUCAAAACACAAGUGGAAUAGGCCAGAAUAGAAGAAUAUUCUUGAAAGUCCGUCAAAAAAUUCAGAUAUAUAACUAAGUACUGAAAAAAUACGUAGGAUAGUAAAAAUCCACGACCAAUUUAACAAAGUUAGAAGAUACCAAAUAAUAUUACUUAGUGCCUAUAUGGGUUAUGUAAAGUAAAAUCUGUGUUACACAGUAUUAGCAGCAUUCAAAUGAAAUUGAUGAGACAUCUGUAAAGAGCAGAAAGACUCAUUUUUAAAGCUAGGAUUUUUCGAUGUUCUGUGUUUCUUUACUUGGGAAGUGGAAUUUUCCUUGUCCUUUUGUAAAGGCAUAAAAUUAACAACAAGCACUUUAAAGAAUUAGGUUCAUUGCCUGGUAUUUAUUUUUUUUACUCUAUCAAGCAUAGAUCAGUUGUGGAAGAAAAUCAGGAGAAACAUAGCUGCGUUUGCCGAUAUCAUAGAGAUCUUUCCAAGUAGCCUCUCCUUUAACAAGGCCUCGGUUUUAAAGAUACUGAAAUAGGAAUAUCUCAAUAUUCAUAUAACUGACUACAUAAAGAAAAAAAUUGCUCUUGGUUUAUAGUUGUGUAAGUAGGCAAGUAGUAAUUCAGUGAAGUGUCACCAGAAAAGGAGGGUUCUGUUUCAUAUGCUGUUGAUCUAUUAAUUUAACAAUCCCAUAUUGCAUUUUUACAUUUUUUCCCUUUUGUUGCUCUUGGAAAUUUGGGGUUCUAGAUUAUUUGCUUAUUUCCCUUCUCCUAGUAGUAAUCAUUUUAAAAGAUCCAACUAUGUUCUGUUCAGUUUUUGGUACAAAACAUGGAAAAUGAUAUUUUUUAUUCCUUUUGUAAACAGUAGGUUGGGGGAGAGGUCUGCACUAUAAAAUGGUAUACCUACAAAAUUAUACUCGAAUGGGAGAUUAAAUAAGAAAGAACAGAAUAGCUGAGACAAGUCGUUUGUCACAGAUGUUCGUGCAGUUCUGUGUUUUGUUUUAAGCUGGAUUCAUCAAACAUACUAAGGAGUAAUUUAUGUCUGGUACAAAGUUUUCAUCCAAGACUAAGUAGGUUAAGUUUAAACUGUCAUUUGAAAAUACAGGGAAAUGCUACGGACACACACACAAGAAAGUAAAUUGGAGAAUGCUAUUUUUGCAGUGUCUUUAUUCAGUAUUAAGAGGCAAAAUGUAUCAGAAUUAAAUUGCUGUAGAACAUAGUUACUUUAGUUACAAAAUGCUUUUUUCUACCAAGCACAAAUAAUUUACCAUAAAUGUUUGAAUUCUAUAGAUUAUAAAGGGCACCUAAUCAUGAAACAUUGAUGUGAUCAUGUCUGAUGCCGAAGUGGCAUAUACUGCUUUUACAAUAUUUCGUAAGUUUAUAACAUAAGUUUAGUAAUUAAACUUAGAGAAAAUGAACAAGAUAAGCACUAGCAUGUUUUUUUUUUCUCUCUUUUUUUGAGGUGGGUUGGUUAUCGUAUUUAAUAGUAGAACACAAAUGAGAAGGCCCAGGACUCGGAUUAGUUCAAAAAGGGAAUUUUAAAAGAUGAGUUUCAAACUCAUUCUUAGUUCCUUAUUAGUUGCUAUCUUUUUUAAUACAGUUUUCCCUUGUGUAAGUUUCUUUCUCUCUUCCCUCAAAAAUUCUAUGCUCUUGCCCCAAAAAGGAGAAAUACAAUGGCUACAAUUAACUUCUGUUUAUUGGAGCAAAAUGAUUAUUUUUCCUCAAACAAAAAUAUAUGCAUUAAUUUGCUAGAUUUCCAGCAAUUUUUACAUACGUUAUUUCUGAGAAUAAGGAUACCCACUUUAUGCAGCUUACUACAGUAUAGUAGCUGUAAUCUAGCAUUUUUCUCUUUUGUAAUCAGAUAGUCAGAAUUGACAGCCUUUUUGCUUUUAAGUGCCUGAAAACUGACUUGGAAACACUAUUUUUAAUACAAUAAAUUUGACAUUUCAGUCUGCACUUCCUUUUUUAGUUUUCUAAGUAAAUGUUGACCAGACCGAUUAUCAGAAAAAUCAAGGCUUACAUAAUCAAGCCAUACAUUUUUAUACUCUUCUUUCCCUUCCCCCACUUUAGCCUUCAUUUUUCUCUGAAAAAUGAAAAUUUUCGAUUAGAAAAUUACUAUGGCAUGCUAAUGAUACACACACUUUCAUGAGACUGCAUAACUAAGCUAUUUGUAUGAAUUCAGUAAAAGAAGGCAGUAAACAAAAUACUAAAACCUUGAGAUAGCUAACCUUUAAAAUUACAGUAAUUAUUAAAUACAGCAUUAUCUAGUGUGAUGUACCUGUCUGUGUGCCUUUGAGUCUUAUUUCUUUGCUUGGAGAAACAGGGUACUUCUAUUUAUUCCUUAGUCAGAAUAAUAAAAAUAAGAACAUCCUACCCCAUUUUUUUUUACUCACCGUAAAGCUGAUGCUCCUUCGUAAAAGCGCUGGUUUUAAUAUUCAGCUUUCAGAGGAUGUUAAAUGAUUGCUGUGGAAAAAGUAUAUAGCAAAUGAAUUGAAACUCUGUCCUGCUAAAAUAAUUACAAAUUGAAUUAAUUACAAAGAGUAAUAUUAAAAUUUUAUCUAAAUAUGUUAACAUGAACUCCUGCCCAUAGGUGGCAGUCAGCCUUCACAGUCGUAGGGAUGCCAAACUUUUGGUUCAUGGUAUUCAUGCUUAUGCUGAAAUAAAUUUGAUGGGGUAUGCGUAUGUGCAUGUACAGAGCUAUUUAGAUGUCCGUUCUGGGAGAGAGGGAAGGAAAUAAAAUGUUAAAAUGAAUUAUUAAUUAGGAGGAAUCCUAAUUACUAUAUAUAAGCAAAUUAAAUUCCUAUUUCCCGGAGAAAAGAUCCAAGUAAAAACACACACCUAAAAGAAGCAGUAAUAAUUCAGAAACAAGCAGGUUCUCCUACAAACUGAGUAGAAAGGCAAGUAUCUUGCCAGCCUUAGAGAGCAUGACCUCAUCCUGUGCCCAGUCCUCUGAACUACAUUUCUAUUUCAUAGUCCGUUGUCUGCAAAUUGCAGAAGUGCUGCAGUGAUGACAUUCUGUCCUAGAAAUCCCAGCAACAAGCUCCUGUAAGCAUACAGCAACUACAGAAGAGGUACUAGGAAUGAGUGUAUCCUUUCUGCAGUGGAGAGCCAGUCAACCUGCGGCCUGUGAUUCUCUUUCUCUUCGCAGAGCUUCUAUUGACACCCGUGGCAGCACUGCACAAGGGGAAGAUGCUGCCAAGGAGAGCAGAGAUCCACUCAAUUUUGCCCUCAGCUUUUUUAGGGCUUUAUGUGGUUUACGAGGAUUUCCUUUUGCAAUAUAACUAAGGAGGCACUUGGGACCCCACCAAAACUGGAGGGGAUAGAAGGAGCUAAUAAGGCCAAGUUGUCUCAGUCUAAAACAAACAGAGCUGGUGAAACUACAUGUGACAUACUAAGGCUAUAGAGCUCUCGUGAGAAAAGAAGACUGAAAACUAAAAUGCCUGAGUAGAUAAAGUCAUAUUCUUUUUACUAUUACAGCUACGCUGGGAUUCUUUUCAGUUAAGAUUAAUCUAAUUUUGUGUCAAGAUAGUCCACUGUAUACAUUUAACUCAAGCCAGGAACUAGCAUCUUACAAAAUGGAAAAUUUGAAAAAUACACCAUUAUUUGUUGCUACAGGAAUGCUGUAUUGUGAUGCAAGAUUAAGGGCUCAGAAUUGAACAGAAUGGUGCAGCAUUAUUAAAACAGAAGGCCUAAUUCUCCUUAUGCAAGAGUAGCAACUACAAACAUCGUUGUAUAAGCCGAAGCAGUCAGUAUGAUUUCGUAGUCAAACAGGGUAUUUCCACAUACAUGCAACCACUACAUGACUAAUUAGAUACUUGCAUAUGCGCAGCCCCAUUUGUUCCCCAACUAUAAUAAUUAUGAGAAUUGCACUUCACGUUAAUUUACACUCUUGUGUAACACAAUUGAAUGCAAGAUAGCAGGUGGUGAUAAACUGGCUGGUGGCAAAUGUGUUAAUUUGAUAUGCAUUUGGAAAAUCAAAGCUUUCAGACUCAGUUCUGAUCUUGACAUAGAAAAGGCUGGUGAAGACCUCCUCAGUCAUAGGCUCUGAUCCCAGCUGUUGUGGACAGCCAUGUUGUACCAUGCAAGUUAUUUGCAGAGGUAUCGAACUCCAUCUUGAAGGUACCCUUGUCAUAAGGUUGCUCCUAAUUUCCAUUCUUCUAAAUGGUUAAAGAUUUCUAAUAACAUGUAGUCAAAACCAGCUGACACCCUCAUGUUCUGUAAACGUCUUUGACUUCAGUUUAAAUAGCCUUUCUCUCUCCCUAAGUAAAAAGUCCCUUCUAAUCUGUCACCCCUUGAGCUUUCACAGAUUACUUGCUUUUCAUAGGUUACUCCCAAAACCUACUCAGCCUUAGUUCUGCAAAAAUAACUGUGUUAUACUUGUCACAGAAGAGGAUGCCUUUCCCCCAACCAUUUUUCUAACCCUUCUUUGCACCUUCUCCACUUCAGUAAAUCUUUUUUCAACAUGCCGGAUUGGAAGUAUGCACAGUAUUCCAGGUAAGAUCUCGUCAGGGCCUUUCGUGGUGGCAUUAACACCUUCCUAGCCCUGCUAGAAAUACAGCAACUAAUAUUCUGAUAUGUUAACUUUUUUUAUUCUUUGCAGAGCUGCAUGCUACCAGUAUCUCAUAGGCCUUGAGGACUAAAUGAGACACCUAGCUUACCUUUUUUUUAUGGAUGCUGAUAGUAAAGUUCUUGUUACUCAUUCCAAGUUUAUGACCUUGACCUUUGCACUAUUAUAAUGGUAUUGCAUGACAAGGGUGUCAAAAAGCUUUUUACAGGAAGGGUGUCAUCAGUUUCAUCCAAGCCCCAGGCUUCCUGUGAGUUUUCUGGCAUGCCCAGAUUUGCUCAGGAAUCUCUACGCUUUGCACGACUAUAGACGUGAGCUGGUACAUGCACCUGAUAUGGUGCAGGACUACAGAUGAACCAGCUUGGCUCAUGAAACAGAGUUCUCUUGAGUAUUGCAUUACCUCAGGCACAUCACAGUAUGUUAUUCCAGGUAAGUUUUCAGAAAGCCAUACACUGCUUCUGACUUAGUGUCCUACACUGGCUUCAUCUGACAGCUCUGAGAGCAAGAGACCAAAUUUGGAAAUAUUUUUCCAGGAUCAACAGAGAUAGACUUAGUGUCACAUUAUAUUGUUUCUAUUGAUCUAGUAGUUGAAUCUCCAGUUUACAGAUUAUGUCUGUAAGAUUGAAGGGAGAUCAGGAUGUACAAGGGCUGAGUGGCACUCACAAAUAACUUGUAAAAAUAAGAAUUAGAUUAUGCUGGAGGAUUUGGGUUGUUGUGUUUCUGAAAGUUCAGUAAUAUUAUGACCGUCUCUAAUUAAACAAGCAAAAAUCAAUUUUUCUUGCCUCUCUUUGUCUUCCCAUGGAACUUGCUGUAUGAAAUUUGUCGUGGCAUUUUUUCGAGCAAUUUUGUUUGAUAUAUUUCUUUGCCUGCAGCACAGCUAAGAAACGUGACCAGUGGGGUUUAUCUUUAUAGUAAAAAUACCAUACCUGAGAGCUUUUGCUCAGUUUGGUGUGUGCCAGGUCCCAGGGUGUUGAAUCAAGCCCAUCAUGUAAAAUGAGUUUUGUGCCCUUUGUUAUAUGAAAUUUCAGUCCUCCUUUGUGCUAACAGUGUCCCAGCUUUGUGUCAUCAGCUGAUCACAUGCUUAAUUCCUAGGUUAAGGUACUCAGUGAAAAUAAUUAAUACAAUCUGUCUGGGAUUGUUCUGUAAGUAAGUCCACUAGUAACCUUUCCUUAGCCUGAGAGUUCCCCUUCAAAACAGCUUCACAGGCUUAUAUUCAGAGUUUAUUUAGUAAUUGCUGUCUUCCUUAGCUUAAUUCUGUUUUGUUUUUGGUUUGUUUGUUUGUUUUUCAAGUAGUGUACUAGCAAAUAUUUUCCUGAAUUCCAGUAAGAUGAGGCUUACUCAUUUCCUUGAUUUAGAAAAAUAAUGCGUUUUUUUUUGUUGGUUGGUUUGAUGUUUUUUUUUUUUUAAAUUUAUUUAUUUUUUAUGUGUGGCUAUUGUGGCAUAAUCUACUCUUAGGAAAGCUUUAUGGCAUUUUUCUUAUUUUCCAUUUAUUCAAUUUUAUCCUAUGCUUCCUUGCGUCUGAUUUCUUGAUGGGUGGUCCCAUUUUUUUCCAAUAUUUUAAUCAGCAGCUCUGAUUAUUUUUAAAAUCCUAUUUGAGUUGGCUGCUUUUCUACUUGGAUCCAAAGACCAAUCUACAGGUUUUCCCACCCAGGAAUUAAGAAAGUGGGAACGGAACUAAUUUUUUUGUCAUUUCACCUCCAUGUAAAUGAUUCACAGAGAUGUUGGUGAAAUAAUGGAUUUUCCUGGAGUUUUUAGAAUGUGACUGAGAAGGCCACAGAAGUUAGAGCCUCUAAAUCGUGCAAUUUGCUAUUCCAGGAUUUUUGCACUUCUAGUCUAGCUGAGGGCUGAUCAUAUCCUGACAAUUUUGUAGUCUUAAAAAGAAAGUGAGUAAAUAAAAACAACUUCAGUAAGGUUGCUUCAAGUUAAAAGACAACUUCUAAAAACCUCAAGUUACAUCCAAAUGAAGAAAACAGGAAAAAAAGUUCUUAUCUGGCAGGCCAUACAUGUAAAAACAGAAUUAAGUGUAUCAAAGGAUGAAUUUGAGGAAACUCUUGCUGGCUAACAUGGCACAAAUUUUUAUCUGUGGCUCUAGAGAAAGGUACAGGUAAGUACAGAGCAUCAUGCCUGAUGACUAGGCUAGGUGAAGUAGUUCAAGCAUAAAAUUAGUGAACAAAUGGGUAAGUGUGACUUAGGGAAAGAAACAGGCAGCUUAUGCUAAGGGAAAUGGUGCCCCACAAGUCCCUCUGUAUGGGGAGAGGAGAUCUGCUUGAAGCACCUGCAAGGAGUUGACAAAAGAUGUUCAGCACCUUUUACCGAAGAGUCUCAAAGAAAUUAGGCCACGUGAGCGAGGAGGCCGGUUCUCACAUGCAUAAGUCCCACAUGAAAAGAUAGGAAGCGAAGAACAGCAGCGAUUGCUCGCUUUCCGUGGUGAUGGGAGAUUAAUGGUGGAGACCCUGAUUGCUAUUACACAGCAUACUCAGAAAUGUUCUGGAAAAGGGCAUGAAUAAAACUUGCCAAGUUUACUGUCUACAUGAAGGUGGGAGGAAGGAAGGCAUCAUGAAUCUUAGUGCCUGAGCAACCAUGAACCUCGGCGUAAAUAACGGCAGCAUGAUACCCGUGGGGAGAUGAUGGCUUCUCAGCUGGCUGCUACCACUUGGGAACAGUGUUGUGGGGCUGUAAUAGAUGCUUCCCUGAAAACAUCAGUGUUAUGCUUGGAAGUGGUCAAAAAAACAAGCAAAAUGUUAGGAUUUGCAAAGAAAGGGAUGGGGAACAAAAUUAAAGAAACAGACAAAACAACAACAACAAAAAAAAAAAAACAACACAUGAUUAUGGUGCUACGUAAAACUUUUCUAACACUUUCAAAUCACUGAGUUUCUUCACCGUGCCUGCCUUUAGCAAAAAUGCAUAGCAGUGGGCAUGUUUAAGAAGAUAGCAAAAUCAAAACUAGAAAGCCGAUAACAGAUGAACAAACAAAACCCACUGUGCUAGAAGAAAACACAUCUUUGCUUCACAUGCUUCUCCCAGCUUUCAGAAAGGCUGAGAGGAGAGGAACCGAUGCAAGACAGCAGCUGGGGCUGCCUACCAAGAGCAUGCUAAGUAGUGAUGAGGACGAGUAUGCAGAACUGUCUGUUUAUGCUCUGACCCUUAUUUGCACCUGUCUUCCCCUCUAUUAUCCUUCUAGAUCACAUCUAUUAAUAAUUGUAAAGCUGUUGUUGCAAUGGCACGCUGAAAAUCGUUAGUCAGCAGGAGAGAGCGUUAUCACCAGAACUGUGACAUGCACAUGCAAAACACUGGGUAAAAGAUGUGGCGGCAGACUGUUGACAUGGUUUCCUAGAUGAGGCAAUCAGGAGUACCUUGAUGAUCAGGGUUAGUUAGUCCUGUGAUUAAUGACCCUCAUGAACAGUAUCAGCUGCACUGGUGAAAUCUGCUAACAGCACAUGAGGUGUGAGUUGCUGUCAGUACAGAAGAGGACUCGACUGUCCAUUGUAAGUGGACAGCUGUGUAAUAAAAGCAGGUAAACAUGUAUUUAAAAAGCAUGUCAGCACAAUAGGGAACUAGUAAGUGUUUCAGCUACAGAUGGGAGAUCACAAGCUGGACUCUACAACAUGGACAUGAGUGUCUGAGAAGGUCAUGGGAUGACCCAUAGGCCACUGGUGUGAUGCAGCUGGGAAAGAAGCAAAUACAGGUCUUGGUUAUAACAAAUGAGGGGUUUCCAGUACAGCCACAGCUUUCCUGACCACAUCUCAUCUGCAGCAGCAUCUUGUUCUGGUCACCUGUGCUCAGGAAAUGUGAAACGGCCAAAAGUAGAAAGAGCUGUUCAGGACUACAUGGAGCUUGUUUUGUGAGAACUUGUUAAAAAGGAUUACGUUUAUUAACCUAGUAAAAGAAAGACAGAGAGGGGAUGGUUUUAAAAAAAUGUGUGAAAGAAGUAAACAAAGAUGAGAAAAGAGCUAGUUGCUACUCAAGCGGCAUAACAAUGAGUAAAAUUGAAACUAGGUGGGUUUUAGUUCUGUGAGUAAGGUCGCUCUAAGAACAGCUUCUCAAUAGGAAUAAUGUUCACGGAAACUGCAUUUAAAUCAAGACUAAGUCCUCUUAGGCCUAGUGAAUAGGAUUAUUUGACCUGGUUGCCUGCCCCAGUAGAGCUUUGAGAUGAUCUACCUAUUCUUUUUCUGUUCCAUUUAGGGUUGCAUUACAAAUUCCCCUUGCCCCAAAGAGCUCUCCUUCUCUGACUCCCACAGCUUUUCUUUCCUGUGCCGGUCAGGUACCUGUGGAAAACUGAGGCCAUCAAGAAAGCAGAUCCUUCACAAGACAUGAAGAGUGAUUGUGGAACUGGUGUUCUGCCAACAGGUCUGCCAUAUGUAUGAUGAAUGCUAACAUUUUUCACCACUGUAAGGCAGCAGCAAGCAUUUUUAAGCACAAUGAUCAAUUUUGUUCUCUAGCAUCUAGCUGAACAUCAGUAAAUACGUUAUUAAGAGGCUUGACAGUGUGCUCCUUUGCAAUCCAGGCCAAGAUGUAGCCAGAUACUCAUCUUAAUCUCUCCAGGCACAUUUCUAAUGAAUUUUUACAGUGCCUGGAACAAAGGUCCCUGGUUUGAAGGGGGACACCUGGAUGAUAAAAGCAAAUUAGCAUAAAUAAUACAUUAUGUUUAUGAUGGCAAAUUGUCAUCUAAAGACAGUGGUAAAAGCUUGUAGUAUAGGCUACUGCUAGAAUCCUAUUAACAAAAUUGCUUGGUUUAAAUCACUCUCAAGGCUUUAAGUAGGGUGUUCUCUUGUAGGCAAUGCUUUCUCUUGAAUAUUUGUAUUUAACUCCCUAUUUAUGUUCUAGCAAGAAACUACUCAAUACUGAGAGAAACUGUAUUUUAAAAUAACUCCAUUGUAUUGCACUGUUUUUCUUCAUUCCAUCCCAUAAAGUUACAGAUAAACUUCCACUUGUACUCAGCAGAAAUAUAGGACAAGGGCAAGGCUUUAUACCUGCUGCAGAGUUGCAUCCAGGGAGGAAGGAAAUACUAACUUAGGAUGUCUGCCGUCUCCUUGACUACUCAGUCCUCUACUUCUCUGAGGGAUCAGUCUAUACUUCUACAACGUCAACUUUCCGAUCUUCUGUUUGCUGAAGUACCUUUGACAGGAGUAAGAUUAUCCCUGUUUUUAUUUUUGUGAUUCUUUUGAGUUUCUUACAGAACCUGAGUAGUUCACUGAGUUCUACCAUAUAUGAAGGUCAAACACAGGAACGUACGGUACAGAAAUGGAUUUUAGUUUUCAUUGAAAUUCACAUUUCUAGUCAACCUCAGCUCACUACUAAAGCAUUUUGGUUUCCUUUGUUACCUAGAUUUUCUUGUUCUUUUUAAAUGAUUGAAGCGUUGGUGGAAUCCUGGCCUCAUUGCAGCACUGCAAAAUGUGCAGACAGCCACGCUGAAGAGGGCCGAAGUUGUUUGAAGUUCAAAUGAAAGCAGUUUGGGUAGCGUAGUUGGCUUACUGCAGCCUUCUCAACUGUUUACUUCAGAAAGCCGUGUAACCGAUAUGGAAAAAAACAAACCAAAAUAAAAAAAGCUCCACAUUCAUCACCUUGUACAAUGUAACCACAAAGCUUUUGGUUAAUAAUAAAAAAGACUGAAUUAA